GAUGAAUGCGAUAGCGCAAGUCAAAUGUCAAAUAAAUCUUCCCCAUUGUUGUUUAUGGGGUUGUCAUGGACACCAUGUCUGUCGAUGUUGAUUAUUCGCUGUCAUCCAAAGAAAAAGCCGAUGCCGAUUUUAUUCAUUUCUGACGGUAUAAACUGUGAUAAGUUGUGUGAUUUCGUGCCUCAUGCUUCCUGCACAUACUGGAUUGUGAUAUGUUUGCCCAUGUUCUCCAAUACGAAGUAAAUAUUUUGUUGGAUAAAGUAGCCGUAAUUAACAGCUAUGCCCUUGUCGCACAAUAUUCUUAAAGCAACCACAGGGACAAAACGUAAGAAGAAUGAAAGUGAAUCUCAAAAAAAUAAACGGUGCCGCCAAUCUGGAACGGCUCAUUAUAAUUGCAAAAUGAAGAAAGCUGAAGAAAGUUGAAGCAAAAUGAAGAAAACUCCCUGCCGUAGUAAGAACUGCAAUAAGUUUUCGGAAGAUGAGAGGCAAGUCAUUUUUUCAUAUUCUUUUAAGGUUUAGGAAGCACCGAGAAACCACGGAGUUUUAUUAAUGGGUGUGUUAAUGUGGUCCCUGACAAAGACUCAUUGGAAGCUCAAUACAGGGAAAAAUAAAGGAAAGUUUAGACUUGCGAGAUGAUCAUCAUCAUCACAAGAACUUUAUCUGCAAGCAGAAGGAAAAAGUAUCGCCAACCUUUACAGGCUCAACAGCUUUCAGAAAACAUUUCAAAAGUUAAUUUAACAUUGACAUGCAUGUUCCAAGGAACGAUAAGUGCUCGAAAUGCGAAAGAUAUAAGAAUAUUCCGGAAGACCAGAGAACCGAUAAUGACAGAAACGAUCACCUUAAUCAUCAAAAUGAGAAAGAUGAAGCGAAACGACGAUGUUCCUGAGCGAUCAAUCUCUUUGUCUUGAAGAUAAUACGUUAGUUGUUUCAUUCAGCUUGCAAAAAGUUUCAGGCUACACUAUUGAAAAUUGAUGACGAAAAGAAGUAUCGUAAAGUACUCUUCUACUGUGAUAAUUGCCCAGGCCAGAACAAAAAUAAGAUCCUAUUGACCA